UAAGGAAUAUUGGUCAAUGGAGGCAACUCUGAACCAGCCAUGCCGCGUGCAGGAAGACGGCCCUCUGGGUUGUAAACUGCUUUUAUUCGGGAAUAAACCUAUCUACGUGUAGAUAGCUGAAUGUACCGAAGGAAUAAGGAUCGGUUAACUCCGUGCCAGCAGCCGCAGUAAUACGGAGGAUCCAAGCGUUAUCCGGAUUUAUUGGGUUUAAAGGGUGCGUAGGCGGCUUAUUAAGUCAGGGGUGAAAGACGGUGGCUCAACCAUCGCAGUGCCCUUGAUACUGAUGAGCUUGAAUGAACUAGAGGUAGGCGGAAUGUGACAAGUAGCGGUGAAAUGCAUAGAUAUGUCACAGAACGCCGAUUGCGAAGGCAGCUUACUAUGGUUUUAUUGACGCUGAGGCACGAAAGCGUGGGGAUCAAGCA
rnacentral:rRNA from 1 species